CCUACGGGAGGCAGCAGUGGGGAAUAUUGGACAAUGGGCGAAAGCCUGAUCCAGCCAUGCCGCGUGUGUGAAGAAGGCCUUCGGGUUGUAAAGCACUUUCAGUGGGGAAGAAAGCCUUGGGGCUAAUACCCUCGAGGAAGGACAUCACCCACAGAAGAAGCACCGGCUAACUCCGUGCACAGCAGCCGCGGUAAUACGGAGGGUGCGAGCGUUAAUCGGAAUUACUGGGCGUAAAGCGCGCGUAGGCGGUCUGAUAAGCCGGUUGUGAAAGCCCCGGGCUCAACCUGGGAACGGCAGCCGGAACUGUCAGGCUAGAGUGCAGGAGAGGAAGGUAGAAUUCCCGGUGUAGCGGUGAAAUGCGUAGAGAUCGGGAGGAAUACCAGUGGCGAAGGCGGCCUUCUGGACUGACACUGACGCUGAGGUGCGAAAGCGUGGGUAGCAAACAGGAUUAGAUACCCGGGUAGUC
rnacentral:rRNA from 1 species